GAUGAACGCUGGCGGUAUGCUUAACACAUGCAAGUCGAACGGAUGUUUUCGGAAUUAGUGGCGGACGGGUGAGUAACGCGUGAGAAUCUAGCUUCAGGUUGGGGACAACAGUUGGAAACGACUGCUAAUACCGAAUGUGCCGAAAGGUGAAAGAUUUAUUGCCUGAAGAAGAGCUCGCGUCUGAUUAGCUAGUUGGUGGGGUAAGAGCUUACCAAGGCGACGAUCGGUAGCUGGUCUGAGAGGACGAUCAGCCACACUGGGACUGAGACACGGCCCAGACUCCUACGGGAGGCAGCAGUGGGGAAUUUUCCGCAAUGGGCGAAAGCCUGACGGAGCAAUACCGCGUGAGGGAAGAAGGCUCUUGGGUUGUAAACCUCUUUUCUGAGGGAAGAAAAAAAUGACGGUACCUCAGGAAUCAGCAUCGGCUAACUCCGUGCCAGCAGCCGCGGUAAUACGGAGGAUGCAAGCGUUAUCCGGAAUGAUUGGGCGUAAAGCGUCCGCAGGUGGCAAUUCAAGUUUGCGGUUAAAGGCUCUGGCUCAACCAGAGACAGGCCGUGAAAACUGAAUAGCUAGAGUAUGGUAGGGGCAGAGGGAAUUCCCAGUGUAGCGGUGAAAUGCGUAGAGAUUGGGAAGAACACCGGUGGCGAAAGCGCUCUGCUAGGCCAAAACUGACACUGAGGGACGAAAGCUAGGGGAGCGAAUGGGAUUAGAUACCCCAGUAGUCCUAGCCGUAAACGAUGGAUACUAGGUGUAGCUUG
rnacentral:rRNA from 1 species